GCGGUUCCGUAAUGGACAGCUAGAGGUAUUUUACUAUUUUUCCUGAAUAUAGUUCAUAAGGCGGUUCAAAAAAAAUAUACCUUUAUCGCGUUGGCGCUACGCGAGGAUUGACUCAAAAGGGCCGCGUGAAGUUGAGGACCUAGAUGAACAUGAAUAACGUGGAAAUAGGGGUAGAAAUGUAAAGUUAUGGGAGAUGGACAGAUGGUUGGACAAUAAAAUUCUAAAUCACUGAAACUUUUUCCAACGACUAGUCACCAUACUCUUGAUAGCCUUGUUUAUAUCGAAUUAUCAAAGGAUGAUAUUUUCCUUCUAGUUUGAUCUUAGGUGCUAAGGACUCUUCUCCCUCGUGGGUUGGUCUAGCAUUUUGCAUGGCCGUCGGUUGCUCCUCUAGGAGUCUCGUUGGCUGAUUGGAGACGGUGCGCAAACUUCUACUCUUCUUUCGAAUUGACUGCCGACGACUCCUCCUUUUGCUCCACUCCUUUUUUUCGACAAUCUCCCCAGAUUCAGUUCCGUCAUUGGUUUCAGGUCUUAUUUCUCAAGGUGUCUGGAAUCGGCCUGAUUUUUUCACUCUUUACGUUCGAUUUGAUAUCGACAAUUCUUUCUCUGCCAUUAUUGAUUUGUGCCAUUGCUGAUAAGCUAAUCUAGCAGCCGGUUUCGAAGACAACUCAUCACUUGUUUUUCAAUUGUCUGGCCGCUAUUCAGCUUGUCGAUGCUUGUAAUAUUAACGCCGUCAAUUAACAAGAAUCCUUUCGUCUUAUCUUUUUUAUGGCGAUUGUGGAAAUUUAGAAAUAUUGUUGUUUUUACUAAUACUCGAGCAUCGAUUGAUCUAUUAGCUCGGCAAUUUAAUCUUCAUUGGGAGGAGGCUAUUUCUGUUUUGCAGGUACAUCUGUUUACUUCGCCACGGGUCUUACUUUUCCCAUCUGGUACUCGACGUCCUCCUCAUCAACCUUGGCGUUUUUGUCGAUGCUCCUGUCAGACCGGCCGCUGAAGUGCAACUGCUAUUGCUCUAUUGGCUUGGUUCUGUUUGAUGAGUUCAAGUCUUUGAUGAUUGAGAGAGGGGAAGUGUUUUUCCAGUUGCAAAUCCUUUCACUCUAGAGAUGAUAACGUUACGGAUUGCUUUGGUUUUUGCAUUUCAAUAUGGAUAUUUGUCGACUAUUUUUUAUUCGGAUCGGUAGAGAUAGUUCGUUUGGUCAACUCUCCCGACCCUGAUGUUUGGGCAGGUCAUAUUUUGGAUUACUGACGAUUUCUUCUUCGACUUCUUCUUAAAAAUUUAACCUAUUUCUCUAUUCUGCACGUGCUGUGUAAGAAUAAUAACGCCGUCCAUUUUAUGAUAAGAGAGACUCUAAAUUAUUUUCCAUUUUUCGUCCUUAAAUUUACGUUACUACAUUGUGCAUAGUUAUUUUUUGUAUUUCUUAACUUUUUGUUCAUUUAUGAUAUCUCAACUAAAAAAAAUCAUACAAAUAACUUAUAAACCGA
rnacentral:lncRNA from 1 species